rnacentral:rRNA from 1 species
UACGUAGGUGGCAAGCGUUGUCCGGAUUUACUGGGCGUAAAGAGCGCGCAGGCGGUCGUUCAAGUCGCGUGUGAAAGCCCCCGGCUCAACUGGGGAGGGUCACGCGAUACUGAUCGACUCGAAGGCAGGAGAGGGAAGUGGAAUUCCCGGUGUAGUGGUGAAAUGCGCAGAUAUCAGGAGGAACACCGGUGGCGAAGGCAGGUCUCUGGGCCAUAACUGACGCUGGAGGAGCGAAAGCGUGGGGAGCAAACAGG